UCUCCGUAGGUGAACCUGCGGAGGGAUCAUUACAGAGUUCAUGCCCUACCGGGUAGAUCUCCCACCCUAUGUUAUUAUUACUUUGUUGCUUUGGCGGGCCGUGAGGCUCCGGCCCGACUACCGGCCCCGGCUGGUAAGCGCCCGCCAGAGGACCCAAAACCCUGAAUAUUAGUGUCGUCUGAGUACUAUAUAAUAGUUAAAACUUUCAACAACGGAUCUCUUGGUUCUCGCAUCGAUGAAGAACACAGC
rnacentral:misc_RNA from 1 species